rnacentral:lncRNA from 1 species
CGGCAGCGGUCUCGGGGUCUACCAGAAAGAAGUAACGGAGGGGAACACAAUAAAUAUAAUGCAAACAUAAGCAUGACAAUGCAAGACAUGACAAGGAGCGGUGCUAGGUGUGCCCUAAUGCGGUAGUAGGUGAUCCGGCGAAAGGGGGAAACAUCCGGGAAAGUAUCCUCGGUGUUUCGCGUUUUUGGACAGAUGAACCGGAGGUGAAAUGUUGCAAGUUCGCUAUGCUAGGGACAUGUGGCUGACGAACGGGUUGCGUAUCGGAUUCGUCUCGUCGUUCUAAGCAAUUUUCAUGUACAAAGUAUUUUCAUUCGAGUUACAGAUUAUUUUAUAUGAUUUUCUAAAGCUUAAUUGAUUUUCUGGAAUUUUGAAAAUUCGAAUUUAAACAUUGUAUUAUUUUUUUAUACACACGGACAACUAGUCUAUUAGAAUGAUGGGCGGGUCCAGUGGCUGAGUCAGCAUACACAGUCAGCAAGUCAACAGUCAAUGGUUGACUUGGUCAAAGUGUGAAUAGUGGUCAUGGGGCCUAUUUGUCAUUGACUGAUAUUUUAACUGAAGUGCUAAACAGAUUUAUUUAGUAAGGGGACCCACAUGUCAUUCACAGUAACUAAUCAUGAGGUUGGUUGGUUGAACUAAUUAGAGCAUGACCAAGCAGUCAACGUCUAGUUAGACUAACUAAUUAGAUUAGCACCUAACCUAAUCUAACUUAGCACUACAAGCCGGCUUCUUGUACAGAGUCAGCAGCAGCAACGCAUCAGGAAAAGCAAGCAACAGACGCAUCAGGCAUUGCAAGCAGCAGCAAGUUGCGCAGCAGCAAACAGCACUAGCAACGGCAAGCAGUAGCGGAUACGCACGAGCGACGACGGCCGGACGGGCGCACGUGGGCGCGCGCAAGGUCGCGGCCAGAGGCGACGCCGGCGCGGGGCACAGGGAGUGGCCGGAGGUGGGGCAAGGCUAGGCUAGGGCGCAACGAUGAGCAGCAGCUCGCGGAGGCGAGCGGGGAUGCGUCCACGCGCGAGUGGGCACGCGCGGAGGCGCGACCGGCGCAGGGCAGGGCGGGGUGGCCAAGUGCGCGGGCUAGCCGGGCGCGAGGUAGGGGAGCCCGGGGUGCUCGUGCCCGUCGGCCAUGGCGGGCGGCGGAGUUCGGUGCAGGUGGGCAGCGGUGAAACGACAUAAAUCCAAGGGGGGAUCAUAUGGGGAAUCAAGGGGAGCUCACAUCGCAGCUGUAGAGAAAGUCAGCGGGCUCGGGGAGUCUUCAAUGAGGUCGAAAUCGAAGAUGACGAGCGGCGGGGCAGAGCUUGAAGAAGACCUCGUCCGGUCGAUGCGGUGGCUCCGGGCUCGAUCUCGUGGGUGGAGAUGAAGAAGUGGACGACGAUGGUUCUGCUGGACGUCUCCCCCAGCGAAGAAGCGCACGGUGGCCGCGGCUACGACGCCGGCAUGGCGACCAUGACAUCAGGCGAACUCCAAGUUGUGACCAAAGGGAAAGGGGAGUUCGAGUGGGGGCUAGGGUUCGGUCGAGGGGGGCACGGUGCAACCUUAUCCUUUUGGGGGGCGUGGGAUGGGCGCCAUGGCGAC